ACAGCGGGAAGCCAUAUGGCGACAUAGAGCGGAACCCGAAAACCUGUCUCAGUUCGGAUUGGAGUCUGCAACUCGACUCCAUGAAGCUGGAUUCGCUAGUAAUCGCGCAUCAGCCACGGCGCGGUGAAUACGUUCCCGGGCCUUGUACACACCGCCCGUCAAGCCAUGGAAGCCGGGGGUACCUGAAGUGCGUGACCGCAAGGAGCGUCCUAGGGUAAAACCGGUGACUGGGGCUAAGUCGUAACAAGGUAAC
rnacentral:rRNA from 1 species